UACAGAGGGUGCGAGCGUUAAUCCGAAUUACUGGGCGUAAAGCGUGCGUAGACGGUUAUUUAAGUCGGAUGUGAAAGCCCCGGGCUCAACCUGGGAAUUGCAUUCGAGACUGAAUAGCUAGGGUGCGGUAGAGGGAAGCGGAAUUUCCGGUGUAGCGGUGAAAUGCGUAGAUAUCAGGAGGAACACCGGUGGCGAAGGCGGAUCUCUGGACCAGUUCUGACACUGAUGAGCGAAAGCCAGGGGAGCAAACAGG
rnacentral:rRNA from 1 species